UAUAUAUAUAUAUAUAUAUAUAUAUUUACUUAUGUGAUACAAAAGUAGUUAAAAGUUUUAAAGUAACUUUUGACAUGAAUGUUAGAAAUCUCAUGACAGUUGUUUCUUGAUGGUUUGUUUCAGUUGUUAUAAGCUUAAUUAUCAUGCCUUUACAUUCCUCUUACACCUUUUGGCUAUGAUUUGAAACAGUUUUUGUAAUAAUUUUGUUUUUAGCAAUAUAAACUAUUGCCAUUUAAUUUUAAAUGAGUUUCUUUUACCAAUACAAUAAGUGCAAUAAUUACUUUUAAAACUUUGUCUUCCAGUCUAUUCAUAUUUUGCUUGUUUUACCCAAGUUUUGUUUGUAUAGGAUUUAACUCAAGUUUGUUUCAUUACUACUAUGGACUUCAUUAUUUCUUGACUAUUGUAACCAAUAUGAUUUUAUUUAUUAGUGAUUAUUGUAGACAUCUAUUAAAUUUGAUCUCUUAGUGAGCCUGUAAGCCAAUUUCUCAGAUCAUAUCUUGUAAUAGAUUUUACGACUUUAUGGCUUUGUUCCUAAACAGUUAUUUAUAUAUUAUAUAUUUUGAACUUAUUAAACUAAUUAAAAUUAAUUUAAAAGCUCUGUAUAUACUAAUUAAUGAAAGGCUCUGCUACUUGUUUGUUUCUUUUCAAAAUAGUGGGCUGGGCAAAGGAGGAAAAAGAAGACAAUCAUUGUCUCAAUUGACUUGUGAAAGUUAUGAACAAAAACCCUGUUACUGUUGUGGACAUUAAUAGAGAAUACAAUGACAGAUUGUUCUUGUAUUCACGUACUUUGUAAGAAAUAGACAAAUCAAACUGUGGGUAAAGUCAAGGCUGAAAUCCUCUCUUCAAAGAACUCUGGACAAAAACUCUGUGCUCUGUGAGUGCAGUGAAUGCAUGUCCUCAUACAGGUAAAGAACAUAGGCCUAUAUCUUUCCAGAUGAGUCAAAAUGAAAAUCAGAAAGUCCGCGACUGUCAAAAAGUAUAUGAACACUAUCUCCUAUCCACAGUGGGACUACUGUGAAAAAAAAACAAAAAAACUUUGGACUCAAAGUAUCAAGGUAAAAUGAUUAUUUUGAAUCAGUCAUGUGAUAUUUAAAUGAAAAGUGCAAAUGUAAUGAAGAAAUAUAUGAUCAACAAAAAAUGUUGACCUUAGCUCAUUUUUUUUUUAUUAGUUGAUACAAAGAAGCAAAUUGAGUUAAUCUGUGUGAGAGAUUUAUUUUUGAUUUUCUUACAAAGAAUGGCUAAUGUUGCUAUUUUUGUUUUUGUAAUAUUUAAUCCUAAUUAUUGGAGUUUGAUAAUUUGAUAAUUUACUCUUUCGUUGAAAUAAUUGCUUCUAGUACAAAGUUAAUUUAUUUUAUAUUCCAGUUUACAGUAUAACAUUGUAUGUUUUUGUGAAAGUCAUUACGGUGAAAGAUUGCCUGGGUCAGCCUGUGAUAGUAAUAUAUAAGAAAGUCAUCAUUCAUUGAACAGUAAGAUUUUUAUCAGAGAAUGUGUCAUUGUCAGAAAUAGUUCAACUGUUUAUACACAUGUUUUGACCACUAUGUUCAUUCUUAUGUAGUUGAAAAUCAAACUCUUUGGAAUCAAAGUCUUACCUGUGUACACAUUUAUUGAUUGAUUCACAAUGUAUUUUAGUUCUUUGAUUUCUCUUUAUUAUUUACUUUUUUUUUUACCCAACAAGCAAUUUUCUUUUUUUAAAUUAAAAAUAAGAAACAUUCUACAAGGUAUUCUACUCAAUACUCUUUUUAGUUAAGACAAUUCUUUGCCUGCUUUUUCCAUUUAGUUUAAAAUUUUGUUGAUUUAUAAAUACCUAAUAAUCAGCAUUUUUUAAUUUGUACUCACGCUUGUUGAUAAAACAAUAAACUGACAGGAAAGUGGAC